AUUAGUGGCAUCUAUUAAUAUUCAGAUUAAAGGGUCAGAAACCUUCCUGAACAAAACAACACAGAUCCUCAUCACACCUCCAACACAAGUGACGCUCGUUCAGACGGACAAACCCAUCUAUAAACCAGGACAAACAGUGAAGUUCCGCAUCGUCUCCCUGGAUACCAAUUUCCUCACCUACGAACAGACGUUUCCAACAAUAGAAGUCAAG